GUGUACCCGUUUAGUUGUUACCGGAUCCACAUGUGUGAGCGCCCAUUUAGUCACAAGAGGGGGUGUCUGGUUCUGAACUGGUUCUUCCAUUUCAACUCUUCCCCUUCCAUUGUUAUCGUCGCGGAGCUCUGGGGGGAGAUGAACCAAUUGUGGUGGUGAAUCAGUGAUCUUAUAGUCGGAUUGGCGACAACCGACGGCGAAUUGACGGCCUCCUCGUCGUAUCGCUGGCCUUGCUGGCCGCAAGUGCUAGUGCUACCCGUCAUUUUGAGGCGGAGCUCCCAGAGGCACCUAUUCAUGGAGGAUGAUGCUGUAAUCUAUGAAUUUUUUACCUGUUUUUGCUGUCGAGGUGGAUGAGGAGCACAACCCCCAACACCAGCCUAACGCACAGUUGCCGCUCUCUGCGCCGGAUCUGCGGCUGAUGGCUGAUAGUGAAGUAAUGCAAUCUGUGUUAAUGGGUCGAGCUAAGAGUCGUGUGGAGUGUGUUUGGAUCCGCAAUCAGUAGAGGCAAGGCGGAGGGAGGCCAAGACUUUCACAAAUCGGCAGCGUCCUCUGCAUCAUGGACAGAAGCUUCAAAGCCAGUGGAUCGAGGAGGUCUAUUGUCCUCAUCUGUAACUCUGUAUCGAGUGUGAGGCGGAGAACUUUUGAGGGAUUUUUCUUUCUCUGAAUUUGACUGUGUAUCAGGUGAAAUUUUUUGAGGUUUUUUAGUGAUAGAACAUGUGAGGAACACAUAAUGAGCACCAAUUGGCUCAAUCCCCUUAAGAGCACCUCCAAUUUGAAGCCUCUCCUAAUUUUCCCCUUUUACUUAGGCUUUCCUAAAAUUUAUGAAAUUUCGGGGGAAGGGUAGGAAUAUUAAUCUGUUUUUCUUUUUAUGGAUCUCAUUGGGAUAGUGUCUCUGUGAUGCAAUGAGUCUAUGGUUUAAAUUUCGUCUCAUUUUUGGAUUUGAUUUAAGUUGUCUAUGGAGAUUUUUGUAGAGGAUGUGCUGCAGUUUCGCUCUAUUUCUUUCACUCAUUCCUCUUGUGCCUUGCGCUGAACCAUAUCGUGUUGCAAAAUUUCAUCGAGCAGUGUGCGACUAUUUUUUCUGUCGUGUUUGCAGAUGCAUCCAGCUUGUCGUCAGCUUACUUCAGAAGACAGCAGUGAGCAUUGAUUUUUUCUAGCAGCAGCAGCCUUCGGCCUUUCAUUUUUGGAUCGACAGCAACAACUCGAGCUUGGCAGCAAUACAGGUACUGUUCAUUCAUUUUCUACAGCUUGACUAUUGUCACUUGAUUCUUCACUACACAGCUACAAUAUUAGCUCAAUCGUAGCACUAGCCUCUUCAAUUCAAUUGCUCAGCUGUUUUUUGGUUUUAUUUCACUGAAUAUCUAGUAGUUCUGUCUUUCUCGAGCUAUAGUAUAGCAAUAGUGAUAUACUCUUCCCUCAUUCAUUGUCUUAUUCUUUUAAGGUUCUUUUAUUUCCAGUUUGAUCUGGAUUGCUGCUUGGCCCCUAAUGUUGUAGGGACAUAAUAGUAGCCAUUCAUGCCUUUUAGUAUUUUGCCCAGUAGAAGACAUGACCACUAGCUCUUGUGUUUAGUGAAGUAAUCUUGGCCUCCAUUCUGGUCAUUCAAAGUGUGCUAUCAGUUCUUCACCACUGAUUUUGUAAUUCAAGUCAAGUCCAAGAUCUACCUGGCAACAUUGUUUUAUUUAGAGCUACAGUGCAGUCAUCUGUGCUGAUUAAUGUUAGCUUGUGUUAAUCCAUUUUGCUUGCACUGCAGUUUUAGUUUUUGUUAGCUGGUAAUUAGUGAGGGCUCUCUUUUGCUUUUGCUUCUGCUUCUGGAUAUUUAUAAGUAGUGUGUGUAAAUAUUACAAUGCUGCCAAUUCUGUAAUUCUAUCAUAACUAUACUAUAAUUUUCUAUCUUAUUUCAUUUUUUGAAGGAAAUAUCUUACUUAAACUUAACUUAUACUAAUCAUAAUUUUGUUUGUGGUGAUGUUGUUUUGUGGUCGUAUACGGAUAUCAAUCAUAAUGUAUGUCUCCUUAUAGCCAUUUAUAUUUUUUAGAUAACUUGUUUGCAUUUAUAUUUAUAUUUUUUGUGCGGGGGCUACAAGGGUGUUAGUUUUUUCUCAUUAGUUCUUAUAAUGAUUCAUAUGAUGUUACUAGGCAUAUUUCCCUUUGUUCUCCCCCUAAGCAGAGCAAAAAAUAUCACUCCACUGCAAGUCUGCAAGGGGGUCCUUGUUCUUGCAAGCAAGGUAUUUUUUAAUAUUCUAUUUCCAAUUACAAUUUAAGCAUGUUAUAGUUACAAAGAGUAUUUUUUAUUUAUCUUGUGCAUGCUUGCUAUAAAUUUUUAUAUUGUGGGGGUAUAAUCAAUCCACUUUGAUUCAGUCUGUUGUAGCAUCUGUUCAUGUAUGCAUCCUUAUGGACCUUUUUAUAUAUAGUUUCCAUACUUCUUUUUUAUUGGGUUCUGGACCUCCUAUUUCAAAUAUUUAUCUGCUACUUUUGUUGUGAUGAUGCCACUUUCUAGUACUUGGACUUUUUUUUAUUUCAAACACAAUUGCCUAUUAUUAUUGUAACACCCAGAAUUUAAGUGCAUAUUAUGUGUAUGGUUACUGUAAUUUUUUUUAAAAAAAUAUGCUGGUUAACAACCAGCUAAUAAGUAGACCAUGUUAAUUGCUACCUAGAAGCUUUCAUUCAAGCUACUAAUCAUUUUUUAUCCAAGUUAAGAUUGCCAUCUCUACUUUGUGAGCAAUGGAGGAGGAAGCCAAUUAAAGCAAUAAGUGGCUACUCUUCGUUCCCUAGUUUUGUGGUGCCUUGUAUUUUGGAUAUCAAUUAACUAUGAUCUGGUUCCUGUGUGUUCAAAUGCCUUUGUCAAACAGGGAAAGGAGAAGCAUGGAUCAUCUGGCAGUACUGAUGAUGAGCGUCAUGAACAAUCCUCAGGUUGGUAGAUUUUAACUAUUGGGAUAUCAGUUUUACCUCACAAUAUGAUCUCCGCUUUCAACUGUAUGUCUAUUUACAUUGAUUUUCUACCAAGUGCACAAAUGUUGGUAUUCUUGUCAUGUAAUUAUGUUAGCUAAAAGUUCAGUUAACGAAGGUGUGCACUGUAGGAAUUCAUUAUACCAUUUGCAGUUGGCUUCUCUAAAAAAUAUAUCAUUAUUAAGGUAUGUGACCAUACUUUUCUGUACAUCCAAGUGUGAUAAUUGCUGAUGCAUAUCAACCUUUAAUUAGCUGAGUCAUCAGAGUAAGUUUAACUAUGUGUAGCCUAAUAUUCCACUUUAAAAUUAUAGUACGCAGCUCUAUAUUUGUAGCUGCAACAUUGCUAAAACAUGUCCCUUAACUAUGAUUUUCAAAUUACUUUUUGUCCAUGUAAGCUGAUGCAUUGCAUUUUAAUUUUUAAGCACUUUACUAAAUUCUUUAACCCUGACUGCAACUGAUGUGUAGUCUCUUACAUCUUCGGUUCUUACCAACAAGUUAUAGCUCAAAUCAGACGUGAUGUGAGUUUUCCCACUCUAGGCUUUUUGCUUUCGCUUGUAAGCAGAUUUGUGUAUUACUUUUGUUGGAGCAACCAUGCAUAGUGAUAUUUUUUUUGUUUCCAGUAGCAUUUUAAUGAUUUAGACUAUUUUCCCAUGUACAGAGAAUAAAGCAAUAGAUAGGAUUUGAUGUUUCAGUAUGCUAUAAAACAACAUAACUAGGCCAAUCCCAGCAGAGUUUUGCAAAGCACGUUGUAACUCGGUCUUUGCAGCAACUAGUCAACUGCGUUGUAAGGGGCAAUCUCUUCCUCUGGGCCCCACCUUGGAAGCCUCCCGUACUUGUGAGUAAAUGGUGGUGGAUAUGCCAAUUUGUACAUCAUUGAAUGUUUUGUAAAUGGUGCAAUAAAUUUUAAUUGUAAGUUUUUUUGUAAGUAAAUUUUAAUUGCAAGUUUUUGUCGUAGCAAAAUUUUACAGUAAUAUUUUUA